CAGUCGCCACGGUAAUACGAAGGGGGCUAGCGUUGUUCGGAAUGACUGGGCGUAAAGGGCGCGUAGGCGGUUCGUACAGUUGGAUGUGAAAUUCCUGGGCUUAACCUGGGGGCUGCAUUCAAUACGUGCGGGCUAGAAUGUGGAAGAGGGUUGUGGAAUUCCCAGUGUAGAGGUGAAAUUCGUAGAUAUUGGGAAGAACACCGGUGGCGAAGGCGGCAACCUGGUCCAUAAUUGACGCUGAGGCGCGAAAGCGUGGGGAGCAAACAGGAUUAGAUACCCCCGUAGUCCCUGUCUCUUAUAC
rnacentral:rRNA from 1 species